rnacentral:misc_RNA from 1 species
GUGAAUACAAACGCUUGGGUGUCUCUGCUCCGGCAAGCCCCUCGCACCCUUCACAUCCAUAACACCUGUGCACCGUAAGAUGACUCUCUGGCCUCGGCCUCUGGGUCGUCUGACCUUUUUAUACAAACAAAUCUUAGUAAACGAAUGUAGUCUUAUUAUAACAAAAUA